rnacentral:rRNA from 1 species
AUAACGACUCUCGGCAACGGAUAUCUCGGCUCUCGCAUCGAUGAAGAACGUAGCGAAAUGCGAUACUUGGUGUGAAUUGCAGAAUCCCGUGAACCAUCGAGUCUUUGAACGCAAGUUGCGCCCCAAGCCUUCAGGCCGAGGGCACGUCUGCUKGGG